AGCAUCCAAUAGCGUAUAUUAAAGUUGUUGCGGUUAAAAAGCUCGUAGUUGGAUCUGCGGACGUGGAGAAUGGUCGCCUAAUUGGUUGCACUGUUCUCCUGUCCUAAUUGCUCUAGUUUUCCCUAGGUGCGCUUCAUUGUGUGUCUAGGGUAGCUAGAAAGUUUACUUUGAAAAAAUUAGAGUGCUCAAAGCAGGCAUGUAAGCCUGGAUAGUGGUGCAUGGAAUAAUGGAAUAGGACCACGGUUCUAUUUUGUUGGUUUUCGGAGCAUGUGGUAAUGAUUAAGAGGGACAGACGGGGGCAUUCGUAUUGUGACGUUAGAGGUGAAAUUCUUGGAUCGUCACAAGACGGACUACUGCGAAAGCAUUUGCCAAGAAUGUUUUCA
rnacentral:rRNA from 1 species